rnacentral:precursor_RNA from 10 species
UUAGUUGGUAAAAUUAGUGCAUAGCGUUAAUGUGCUGUAUAUGCACUUCUAUGUAUUUAAUUUUAUAAGUGCAUGUAUGGUGCUAUUGACUCUGCACAACUAACUUCAAAUAAAACA